rnacentral:lncRNA from 1 species
UGAUGAGAGCUCAGUAGUGGAGACUCCUGUGCAUACUCCUAGGUCGAAAGAAGACAGCUGUGUGAGGCAUGGCCUUGUGGGAACUGGGAGAUCAUCUAACCCCUUGGUAUCCUAAGGUUUGGUUUUUAUUAGUGAAAAUCAGAGUUGUCAAAAGUUACCUCAAAAACAGCAAUCCCCCAAAACACAGAGAUGGUUCAGCCUGCCUCUCCCUACAAGGAAAUGCAAGGAGAUUCUACCAUCAAUGUAGAAAACUGAGGGCCUGAGACGUUAACUAACUUCCUAAGGCUCCAGGAAGAAGAGGGAAGAGCUUAAGGGGAAGCAACCUGCAGUCUCUACUUCAGGUUCAUGGUCUAAGACAUCGUUAGGAGUGAUGGAAAAGAAACUCUUAGAAAUGGCGCUGGAUUUGAAGAGGUAGCUUACUGGGGUGCAUUCUUGGAGGUGAUGUCUUGUUCUGGGUCCUCAUUGUCUCUCAGCUUCCUGGACAUUAUGAGGGUGCCAUGAAUGUUAACAGAGACUGGAGCAAGGCCUAACAUUGGGCUAAUGGCAACAAUUACUAACAGUGACCAACUAGAAGGAGAAUAGACGCGUCGUCACAAAAAGAAGCCAAUGAGAAUCUAGACGGAAUGAAAUGGGCAACAAUCCCCAAGCCACAGACUCAUUCAUCACCCAUCACAAGGAAGAAGCAACAGCUAGGGCGGUGGCCCUGGGGAGAACAGUGCUUCCCUGCUUCGAGAGUACGUCAUAAAAUGUAGGUGAAGGAAGGCAUAAAUGACCUGUUCUAAGAACGCAGGGGAAGGUCUCCCUCAACACAGCAUUCAUUGGAAUGAAAUUCAGGACAAACACUAUACUAUGCAUGAAGAUCACUGCCUGGAGACCCCAGCUCUUCAUUCCCGACGUCGUAUUUGAAAAUGGAACCUGAGGAAAGCGUGCUUUAUUCAUUUUGUUGUUUUCUGUGGUGCUCGCUCGGCUGCCCUGAAAGCCCACCACAGGAGAGCUCAAUUAGGAGGCUUCAUAAUUU